rnacentral:tRNA from 1 species
GCCUAGUUAGCUUAGUUGGUAGUGCGUCUGCCUUGUAAGCGCUAGGCCGUGGGUUCCAUUCCCGCCGGGGCG